GAUAUUGACUCUUCCCUAGAAGGCACAUCUACAGCGUUCAACGAAUACAUAGACAGGGUGAACAAAGAGCAUGGCAGGACAGCAGAGGAGCAUGACCAACCUGUGUCUCCUGGAGAUUGCCCGGAGAGACAGAAUCAAAGAAGGAAACGGAAAAGGCAGUGGUCCCCAAAAGAGGUUGCCGCUAUAAUGAGACAUUUUAAAAAGCACACUGCCAAGGGAAAACUGGCCACAAGAAUGCAGUGCAAGAACGCUGAACAUCCUGAUCUUGAUAAGCGGUCACUUCAAAACAUUAGAGUCUUUGUUAGAAAUCGGGGCAUAACUCUGAAAAAGAGA